rnacentral:rRNA from 1 species
CGGACGGGUGAGUAAUGUCUGGGAAACUGCCUGAUGGAGGGGGGUAACUACUGGAAACGGUAGCUAAUACCGCAUAACGUCGCAAGACCAAAGAGGGGGACCUUAGGGCCUCUUGCCAUCGGAUGUGCCCAGAUGGGAUUAGCUUGUUGGUGGGGUAACGGCUCACCAAGGCGACGAUCCCUAGCUGGUCUGAGAGGAUGACCAGCCACACUGGAACUGAGACACGGUCCAG